UACGGAGGGUGCAAGCGUUGUUCGGAAUCACUGGGCGUAAAGGGCGUGUAGGCGGUCCGCUAAGUCUGACGUGAAAUCCCCGGGCUUAACCUGGGAAUUGCGUUGGAGACUGCAAGGCUGGAGUCUGGCAGAGGGGGGUAGAAUUCCACGUGUAGCAGUGAAAUGCGUAGAGAUGUGGAGGAACACCGAUGGCGAAGGCAGCCCCCUGGGUCAAGACUGACGCUCAUGCACGAAAGCGUGGGGAGCAAACAGG
rnacentral:rRNA from 1 species